CAGUCGCCACGGGAACACAGAGGGUGCAAGCGUUAAUCGGAAUUACUGGGCGUAAAGCGCGCGUAGGUGGUUUGUUAAGUUGGAUGUGAAAUCCCCGGGCUUAACCUGGGAACUGCAUCCAAAACUGGCAAGCUAGAGUAUGGUAGAGGGUGGUGGAAUUUCCUGUGUAGCGGUGAAAUGCGUAGAUAUAGGAAGGAACACCAGUGGCGAAGGCGACCACCUGGACUGAUACUGACACUGAGGUGCGAAAGCGUGGGGAGCAAACAGGAUUAGAUACCCGAGUAUUCCCUGUCUCUUAUAC
rnacentral:rRNA from 1 species